rnacentral:lncRNA from 1 species
AGUCGAGAAGCAAGGGCAAGGAUCAUAGGGAAAAUAAAGGUACAAUGCUCCCAAUAUAUUUUACCUUUUCGGCGAAGUUUUGGUGCUUGCGCAAGAAAAUAACACCAUCAUUAUACCUACUACUCAUUUUUUAUUCAGGAAAUUAGCCAUAAGUAGGAAAAGCCAACUAAUUGUAAUUUCUCUAUUGCAGAGGUGAAAUUACUACUACUUUUCGAAAGCUUUUUUUGAUGCAUGUUCCCCUUUCUUAAUCUUCUAUUUGUUCAAAUGUACAUACCUGUGCUUAUAAUCAUUAUUACACUUGGUUCUACUGCAAGAGCAUACUUUAUCUUUCCAUUUCCAUCAAUCCAUCUUGAUGUGUGAUCGGGUCAUUGUGUGAUGCUGUUAGCUAUUGAUAUGGUGUCUACUUACGUCUGUUCAUAAGUACACCCUUUGUCUAUUGUUCGUUUGAGACAUAUAGCCAGCACAAGAAAAAUCUGUUGAUGAGUCCUUAGCUAGCUUUUGAUAUUUUAGUCCUUUGGCCUUGUUCACACAGAGCUCCAGAAUAAGGGAACUAGAAAUAACCGAUUCUUGUCCCCAAAAAACAGCUAGGUUUUCAUAGACCUUCAUUAUUAUAUGCUUUUGCUUUUGCUGCAUUCGUUCUUUCAGGUUGUUUCAUUAUUUUUCCAUGUUAGCUUUAGGAUGCCCAAUGUAUUUCAGUUCAUAUGUACGUGUAUUGUGUAUGGUUUAUUUGUCCUAUCUGCCGGUGUCUGAGCAUGACAAGCAGCAAAGAGGGAGGGGGGAUUUUUCAAAUACAAAGCAAAAUGUGCACAAAAUAGAUGUGGCUCACAAUGUCAUAGCAUAGACUGGAACAAAAUAUACAUUGUAUAUACUCCCUCCGGCCCAAAAUUCUUGUCUUAGGUUUGUCUAGAUACGGGUGUAUCUAAUACUAAAAUGUGACUUGAUACAUCCAUAUUUAGACAAAUCUAAGACAAGAAUUUUGGGACUGGGGGAAUAUAUCAUUACUACUAUUAUCCAGUGCUCAUGAUUCAUGUUCACAUAGAUACUGUACAUGGUAACAACAACAUACCUGAUAUUGUGGAUAAUGACUACUCCAGUGCCACAACUUUAGAAUACAUAAGACUGGUCAAAAGUGCUCCAUUGCCUCAACUGUAGAAUACACCGGACUGGCCAAAAGUUGUCCAUAGCCACAACUGUAGAAUACAUGUCACAGUUUGACCUUCAUACUCUCAAUUUGAAGCUUCAGAUCAUCCUGUUGAGCCAAAAAAUAUCAUAAAUUGCACAUUCAUUUGGGUAAACAUGUAUGCUUUCAUGUAGUGAUAUUUUGCUUUGGUAGUGUGCAUCGUAUGAUGCUGAGGCCUAGAGAUGAACCCUUCCAUCAUCUUAAAAGAAAAAAAACUUGUACCCAAUAGAAUGAAAUGUUUUUCCCUAGGGUGAAACGGCUACCUGGUCAUGAGAAUGCCCAAGGUCUGUUGCAGUUUCUGAAACUGCUGCCUGUAGAUCAGAGAUAUCUCGGAAGCUAUCCCCUGGAAGCUCCUAUAAACUGAAUCCCCACUGCUGCUGCUACUGAUGUGAUUGAUUGUGAAUUUGUCUUCAGGGUUGUAUCAACAUGGUAAGAGAUCUCGCUGCCAGCACUGCCUGAAGGGCUAGCUUCAGGAUUGACCUGUUUAUAUUUACGAGUGUGUGAUCACGUUGCGAUGGCAGAGAUGACUGGCGGAAUAAUACAGCUGACGUUCCAUUUCUGUCAGCCCACUCUGCUGUAGACAGAAUAGUUAACACUCUAAUACACUCUUUUUGUUUGUAUUCAGUUGAUAGGUGUAAUCAACAAUUUUCAGAAACCAAAAUCAAAUGCAGACUUGAGUAUUACCUGAGGGCGCAGUGGAAAGGCUUCCGGAGCUAGGAGAAGAAAUAGUUGAAGAAGAUAUGGUCUUGGCUGUUUCGCAGGCAUCAGGUGUAGAGUGCACGAAUGACAAUUUGCCCUUUGAAAUGACGUACGCCUUACAGAAGCUUGGAAUGCAUUUAGAGAUUUUUGUUGAAGUCUUGCUUCCUUUGAGCUUCCUGCAAACAAUCAACAAUGGUAACCACAUGAUUAAGAUUGCACUAGGCAUUUCUUAUCCUAUGCUGCACUGGGUUUUAUUUUUUAUAAAAAUUGUUCAGCCUAAAUUUUCUGCAAAUUUCCAUAUUGAACUUGGAACCAAGUAGUUGCAGUGCAACCUUCAGUGUUAGGCCAGUAGCUGGGGAAUUAAAUGAGAAGACAAUGAUAAUCCUACCAAAUGCUUUUCUCACUAUGACUCUUUGGUAUAUAGCAUUUUUUCCUACCUGUUGCCUAUUUCGAAUAGAUAGAUGGUUUGCUUUGGAAAGGGAUUAGAUAAGGCCUAUGAGUCAAGUGUGACAAGCAAGCCAUGCACUUCUAUUUAUUAUUAAGCUCUAACUGAAUUUGUGAUAAUGGUGUUUCAGAGAUAAUACAAUCAAUCCAAUAGUUACUUUUGUUGUUCUUUUUGGAUGGACUAAUCUGAAGAUGCUAGCUAGCUUGCACCAUCAUCAUAUAGUCUAGAAGGAAGGGCAAGGAUUAUAGUGAAAAUAAAGGUACGAUGAUCCUAAUAUAUUUUACUUUCUUGGUGAAGUUUUGGUGGUUGCACAAGAAAGUAACACACAUCAUUAUACCUACUGCUCUCUUUUCAGGCAAUUCGCCAUACGGAGGAAAUGCCUAGUAAUCCAUUUUUGUACUUCAUUUCUUACUAUUGACUGUGUGAACUGUUGUGGUAGGACUCAGGCUUUCAAAGUUAUUUGGCAUGUGGACAUGUUUUUAUUUUCGUUUGUACAGUUUUGUGUUCUUUUGGCUUCAGGUUGCUACUGCACAGAAAGUGCAGUGAGCUCAGGUGAUGCAUGAAAAAAACUGCAGACCUAGCAUAGUUUUUGUAUUUGGAUUUUGUAACUAAUUGUGUGAUGCCCUUAUGUUAAAAUGCUAAUUUGUUCUCCAAGUAGGCCAACGAUGGGUGCUAACAAUGAUACAUAC